GUGGGGCUGGUGGCUGCUUUGCAGAGAAGACUGGGUCAUCAAAGGUGGGUCUGAACACUGGGUUAUGAAAGGUGGGCCUGAACACUGGGUUAUGAAAGGUGGGCCUGAACACUGGGUUAUGAAAGGUGGGUCUGAACACUGGGUUAUGAAAGGUGGGUCUGAGCACUGGGUCAUCAAAGGUGG